ensembl:lncRNA LINC01821 long intergenic non-protein coding RNA 1821
UUUGAGGGCAGUGAUACACUUAUGUGAGAUUUUGAAAAGUGAAAAAUCAAAGGUGGAAUUGACCAGUAGAUGUAAAAGUACAACAAAUAAACAAAAAUGGCAAUGUUGAAAGUGAAACUGAAAUUCAACAGAAAUAAAAGAAAUAGCAGACUGGGGGGAUAUUGACUUUGACACCAUGAUGCCAGAGGAACUUAGUGAUGGCAAACUUAUCAAUAUAAAAUGAGGAUAUUGGUUGUCAACUAGGUUGUGUGGUGGUCCUUGAUCUUGUCCAUCAAGUCCUUUUUCCCAAAGGAUAACUGAAGAAGAUCACAUACAUUCCAACUUAUUGAGUCUGAUAGGUAUUCAUCUGAUGAGCUCCUCUUCAACUGAGGAUUGAAAUGCUGUUUUUCUUCCCUGGUACAAUGUUAAAGCUUUAAACUCUUGUCAAUGAUGUGAUGUUUCAUCUGCAAUGAUCUACACUAGAAAAAUAAAAAUGUAGUUACUGACAAAAAAGCAGUACUCCAGGCAGAUUUAUAAAGGAAGCUGCUGGAAGGAAUUCAUUCCCUUUUUGCUGUUCUGCCUUCCACCUUCCACUGUGUGAGGACACUGCAAGAAAGCCCUCAUCAGACACCAACUGCCAGCACCUAGAUCUUGGAAUUCUCAGCCUCCAGAACUCUUUUACCAAUUUUGAGUAGAUUUUAAGGAAGAGAGAAACAGACGUGACUUGCUCUGCCUUGCCUUCCAUCAUGAUUGUGAGGACUCUCCAGCCACAUGCAACUGUCUUUGCCUAUUUAUUUAUAAGCCACAGAAGAUUAAGAAUGAAGGAGGGGAGUAUGUGCAAAGAACCAUCAUACUUAAUUCCCACCUCUUCAAACUGCUAGAGCCACAGACAAUCCUGGAAUACCCCAAAAGAGAGGAGGUAUAUACAAACCAGAAGUAUUUAUGAUUUAUGGUCUUUGGGACCACAGUUGAUCUUUGAGGAUUGAAGCCAAUGGAUAAAAAGCCUCUACGUUUUGCCCUCUGGGGUAGAAAAUUCUAAGAUUCAUUAUAAUAUUUUUCAUAAUGCCCUAAGAAAAUCAGCAUCCAUUGCCCUCAGUUUGUGCAACUUAAUACUACUUUCUUGUAUUAUCAAUUCCUUCAUUGUUUUCCUCCCCCUUAAUCCUGUGUCCUGCUGUUAUAUUUCUAAGACUUUGUUUCAGACUUUGUUUUCCAGGGGUCCC